AUACGGAGGGUGCAAGCGUUACUCGGAAUCACUGGGCGUAAAGGACGCGUAGGUGGCUUCAUAAGUCAGGUGUGAAAGCCCACGGCUCAACCGUGGAACUGCACUUGAAACUGUGAUGCUAGAGUCUGGGAGAGGCAGAUGGAAUUGGUGGUGUAGGGGUAAAAUCCGUAGAGAUCACCAGGAAUACCGAUGGCGAAGGCGAUCUGCUGGAACAGUACUGACGCUGAGGCGUGAAAGCGUGGGGAGCAAACAGGAUUAGAAACCCUAGUAGUCC
rnacentral:rRNA from 1 species